rnacentral:rRNA from 1 species
GGUUAAGCGACUAAGCGUACACGGUGGAUGCCCUGGCAGUCAGAGGCGAUGAAGGACGUGCUAAUCUGCGAUAAGCGUCGGUAAGGUGAUAUGAACCGUUAUAACCGGCGAUUUCCGAAUGGGGAAACCCAGUGUGUUUCGACACACUAUCAUUAACUGAAUCCAUAGGUUAAUGAGGCGAACCGGGGGAACUGAAACAUCUAAGUACCCCGAGGAAAAGAAAUCAACCGAGAUUCCCCCAGUAGCGGCGAGCGAACGGGGAGCAGCCCAGAGCCUGAAUCAGUAUGUGUGUUAGUGGAAGCGUCUGGAAAGGCGCGCGAUACAGGGUGACAGCCCCGUACACAAAAAUGCACAUGCUGUGAGCUCGAUGAGUAGGGCGGGACACGUGGUAUCCUGUCUGAAUAUGGGGGGACCAUCCUCCAAGGCUAAAUACUCCUGACUGACCGAUAGUGAACCAGUACCGUGAGGGAAAGGCGAAAAGAACCCCGGCGAGGGGAGUGAAAAAGAACCUGAAACCGUGUACGUACAAGCAGUGGGAGCACGCUUAGGCGUGUGACUGCGUACCUUUUGUAUAAUGGGUCAGCGACUUAUAUUCUGUAGCAAGGUUAACCGAAUAGGGGAGCCGAAGGGAAACCGAGUCUUAACUGGGCGUUAAGUUGCAGGGUAUAGACCCGAAACCCGGUGAUCUAGCCAUGGGCAGGUUGAAGGUUGGGUAACACUAACUGGAGGACCGAACCGACUAAUGUUGAAAAAUUAGCGGAUGACUUGUGGCUGGGGUGAAAGGCCAAUCAAACCGGGAGAUAGCUGGUUCUCCCCGAAAGCUAUUUAGGUAGCGCCUCGUGAAUUCAUCUCCGGGGGUAGAGCACUGUUUCGGCAAGGGGGUCAUCCCGACUUACCAACCCGAUGCAAACUGCGAAUACCGGAGAAUGUUAUCACGGGAGACACACGGCGGGUGCUAACGUCCGUCGUGAAGAGGGAAACAACCCAGACCGCCAGCUAAGGUCCCAAAGUCAUGGUUAAGUGGGAAACGAUGUGGGAAGGCCCAGACAGCCAGGAUGUUGGCUUAGAAGCAGCCAUCAUUUAAAGAAAGCGUAAUAGCUCACUGGUCGAGUCGGCCUGCGCGGAAGAUGUAACGGGGCUAAACCAUGCACCGAAGCUGCGGCAGCGACGCUUAUGCGUUGUUGGGUAGGGGAGCGUUCUGUAAGCCUGCGAAGGUGUGCUGUGAGGCAUGCUGGAGGUAUCAGAAGUGCGAAUGCUGACAUAAGUAACGAUAAAGCGGGUGAAAAGCCCGCUCGCCGGAAGACCAAGGGUUCCUGUCCAACGUUAAUCGGGGCAGGGUGAGUCGACCCUAAGGCGAGGCCGAAAGGCGUAGUCGAUGGGAAACAGGUUAAUAUUCCUGUACUUGGUGUUACUGCGAAGGGGGGACGGAGAAGGCUAUGUUGGCCGGGCGACGGUUGUCCCGGUUUAAGCGUGUAGGCUGGUUUUCCAGGCAAAUCCGGAAAAUCAAGGCUGAGGCGUGAUGACGAGGCACUACGGUGCUGAAGCAACAAAUGCCCUGCUUCCAGGAAAAGCCUCUAAGCAUCAGGUAACAUCAAAUCGUACCCCAAACCGACACAGGUGGUCAGGUAGAGAAUACCAAGGCGCUUGAGAGAACUCGGGUGAAGGAACUAGGCAAAAUGGUGCCGUAACUUCGGGAGAAGGCACGCUGAUACGUAGGUGAAGUCCCUCGCGGAUGGAGCUGAAAUCAGUCGAAGAUACCAGCUGGCUGCAACUGUUUAUUAAAAACACAGCACUGUGCAAACACGAAAGUGGACGUAUACGGUGUGACGCCUGCCCGGUGCCGGAAGGUUAAUUGAUGGGGUUAGCGGUAACGCGAAGCUCUUGAUCGAAGCCCCGGUAAACGGCGGCCGUAACUAUAACGGUCCUAAGGUAGCGAAAUUCCUUGUCGGGUAAGUUCCGACCUGCACGAAUGGCGUAAUGAUGGCCAGGCUGUCUCCACCCGAGACUCAGUGAAAUUGAACUCGCUGUGAAGAUGCAGUGUACCCGCGGCAAGACGGAAAGACCCCGUGAACCUUUACUAUAGCUUGACACUGAACAUUGAGCCUUGAUGUGUAGGAUAGGUGGGAGGCUUUGAAGUGUGGACGCCAGUCUGCAUGGAGCCGACCUUGAAAUACCACCCUUUAAUGUUUGAUGUUCUAACGUUGACCCGUAAUCCGGGUUGCGGACAGUGUCUGGUGGGUAGUUUGACUGGGGCGGUCUCCUCCUAAAGAGUAACGGAGGAGGAGCACGAAGGUUGGCUAAUCCUGGUCGGACAUCAGGAGGUUAGUGCAAUGGCAUAAGCCAGCUUGACUGCGAGCGUGACGGCGCGAGCAGGUGCGAAAGCAGGUCAUAGUGAUCCGGUGGUUCUGAAUGGAAGGGCCAUCGCUCAACGGAUAAAAGGUACUCCGGGGAUAACAGGCUGAUACCGCCCAAGAGUUCAUAUCGACGGCGGUGUUUGGCACCUCGAUGUCGGCUCAUCACAUCCUGGGGCUGAAGUAGGUCCCAAGGGUAUGGCUGUUCGCCAUUUAAAGUGGUACGCGAGCUGGGUUUAGAACGUCGUGAGACAGUUCGGUCCCUAUCUGCCGUGGGCGCUGGAGAAUUGAGGGGGGCUGCUCCUAGUACGAGAGGACCGGAGUGGACGCAUCACUGGUGUUCGGGUUGUCAUGCCAAUGGCACUGCCCGGUAGCUAAAUGCGGAAGAGAUAAGUGCUGAAAGCAUCUAAGCACGAAACUUGCCCCGAGAUGAGUUCUCCCUGACUCCUUGAGAGUCCUGAAGGAACGUUGAAGACGACGACGUUGAUAGGCCGGGUGUGUAAGCGCAGCGAUGCGUUGAGCUAACCGGUACUAAUGAACCGUGAGGCUUAACCUU